rnacentral:rRNA from 1 species
UACGUAGGGUGCAAGCGUUGUCCGGAAUUAUUGGGCGUAAAGAGCUCGUAGGCGGCCAGUUGCGUCUGCUGUGAAAUCCCGGGGCUCAACCCCGGGCGUGCAGUGGAUACGGGCUGGCUAGAGGCAGGCAGGGGAGAACGGAAUUCCCGGUGUAGCGGUGAAAUGCGCAGAUAUCGGGAGGAACACCGGUGGCGAAGGCGGUUCUCUGGGCCUGUACUGACGCUGAGGCACGAAAGCCAGGGGAGCAAACGGGG